rnacentral:lncRNA from 1 species
GUGGGAGAACAAUUGUUUAGAAUAUUAGAAACUUUACAAAAAAUGCAGAUGCAAAGGAACAUGAAUGAACUCAAACAUGUAAAUGUAAAAAAUAUAUCAUUAAUUGUGGUAGCAAGUGUCACCUUGGGUGAGACUACCAAAAUAGGAUUCAGAUAUACAAUUAAACAAAUAUUUAAUUUCAAUUGUUCAUUUGUUCAUUUUAUCCAUCUAAUUGUAAUGAUAACAAUUUAUAAAAAUAAAAAUAUAGAUUGUGAUAAAUGUUUGUUUAAAUUUAACACAUAAGUUCCAAUCACAUGUCACGAUGGUCAGCUCGUGCUGGACCGUACAAGUAUACGUAUACGGUCCGGACUGUACGCGUACGGUCCAAAUACUUGUAUGGUCUGAAACAUAUACAUAUGUACUUUAUAACAUAUCUCAAAGCUAAUUGAAUUUCCAGUCAACCCCUGCUUAGAACAAGAGAUCAACUGUAUUUCAAUUCAAU